rnacentral:lncRNA from 1 species
GUCGGUCUGGCUGUGGAAAAUAUACAUGAGUUCCACAAAGAAGCUGAUCUCGCCAAGAAAGAAAUGCAAGUAAAGUUCGCUUUGGAGUUAGAAAGAAUAUUAACAUCUUUCCUCAUUUCGAAAGGUCUUAAUUUUCUUCGAUGCAAUCGGUCUGCAUAGAAUUUAUCGAAAACGGAGACUUUACGGCCAAAUAAACAGAACUGGCUGCAGAGGAAAGUUGCAGAAUCAUGGAAAUUAACUGAAAAAGAUAUAAACAUGGCCUUAAGAUCUGAGCAAGAUGGUACUUCAAAAGAAAUAGCUCGAUUGGAAACGAAAUUUAACACACUUGAAACAAAUAUGACAGUCAUGGACUCGAAAUUGGAGACAAUUUUACAGACCCUAAGUAGAGUGGAGGAGAAGUGUCGCAGACCUGAUAACAAUUAACCGAGGUCGACUGAAGGCAGGUGUUUAAUAUAGUUAUAAGAAUCUUAAAAAAUCUUUAGUUCAUCUGAUAUAAUUUACAGUAAUUUACAGUAAAAUGUGUAUUGGCAAGCUGACACAUUAUUAAUAGGCAUAAAAAGGUUUGAUACAUUAAUUUCUCAACAUGAAAAAGGUCGAAAUGUACUGAAUACAAACCAUCGCAGAAAAUAACCAUAUCCAUAAUAAUAAUAUCCAUUUUAUAUUACAGCUGAGGUCCUUACGUGCCCUGAC